GGGCAGAGUUUCCUCUGUUUUUGGACGCCCCGGACAACACAAGUUGUCGUUAUGUUUAUCAAAAUUCAACCAAGUUCAAACAAUAUAUAUGUAACUCUCAAAAUAUAUUAAACGUAAACUAUAGUUAACUGGUUCGAGCUCGUUUCACUGAAAAUGAGAGGUCGCGCCGUAAAUCUUUACCGAAUCUUCGUGUCGAAACGCUGA
rnacentral:lncRNA from 1 species